CAAGGAAGAAGAUCUGACGGUACUUGAGGAAUAAGCCACGGCUAAUUCCGUGCCAGCAGCCGCGGUAAUACGGGAGUGGCAAGCGUUAUCCGGAAUUAUUGGGCGUAAAGCGUCCGCAGGCGGCCCUUCAAGUCUGCUGUUAAAACGUGGAGCUUAACUCCAUCAUGGCAGUGGAAACUGUUGGGCUUGAGUGUGGUAGGGGCAGAGGGAAUUCCCGGUGUAGCGGUGAAAUGCGUAGAUAUCGGGAAGAACACCAGUGGCGAAGGCGCUCUGCUGGGCCAUAACUGACGCUCAUGGACGAAAGCCAGGGGAGCGAAAGGGAUUAGAUACCCCUGUAGUCCUGGCCGUAAACGAUGAACACUAGGUGUCGGGGGAAUCGACCCCCUCGGUGUCGUAGCCAACGCGUUAAGUGUUCCGCCUGGGGAGUACGCACGCAAGUGUGAAACUCAAAGGAAUUGACGGGGGCCCGCACAAGCGGUGGAGUAUGUGGUUUAAUUCGAUGCAACGCGAAGAACCUUACCAGGGUUUGACAUCCUGCGAACCUCUUGGAAACGAGAGGGUGCCUUCGGGAACGCAGUGACAGGUGGUGCAUGGCUGUCGUCAGCUCGUGUCG
rnacentral:rRNA from 1 species